ensembl:misc_RNA Metazoa_SRP Metazoan signal recognition particle RNA
GCCGGGCAUGGUGGCACAUGCCUGCAGUCCCAGCCAUACGGGAGGCUGAAGCAGGAGGAUGGCUCAAGCCCAGGAGUUCUGGGCUGUAGUGUGCUAUGCUGAUCGGGUGUCCGCGCUAAGUUUGACAUCAGUAUGGUGACCUCCCGGGAGCGGAGGACGAUCAGGUUGCCUAAGGAGGGGUAAACCGACCCAGAUGGGAAACCGAGCAGGUCAAAGAGCAUGUGAAUGGGUUGUGUUCCCAGUAAUGGGGAACUGGCUUGGCACAGAGGAAGGACCACCUGUGGUUAU